rnacentral:rRNA from 1 species
AAUGAACGUUGGCGGCGUGGAUUAGGCAUGCAAGUCGUGCGCGAUGUGUAGCAAUACAUUGAAAGCGGCGAAAGGGAGAGUAACGCGUGGAUACCUACCCUGAGGCCCGUGAUAGCUGCGGGAAACUGCAGGUAAUACCGGAUGAUGUCUCUGGACCAAAGGUGUGAUUCCUCCUUAGGAUGGGUCCGCGUCCUAUUAGCUAGUUGGUGAGGUAAUGGCUCACCAAGGCGACGAUGGGUACUGGGUGUGAGAGCACGACCCAGCUCGCUGGGGCUGAGACACUGCCCAGACACCUACGGGUGGCUGCAGUCGAGAAUCUUCCGCAAUGGGCGAAAGCCUGACGGAGCGACGCCGCGUGUGGGACGAAGGCCUUCGGGUUGUAAACCACUGUCAGUUGGGAGGAAAUAUCUAGGGGUUCUCCCCUAGGUUUGACCGAUCUUCAGAGGAAGUCCGGGCUAAGCUCGUGCCAGCCGCCGCCGUAACAC